AACGAACGCUGGCGGCGUGGAUAAGACAUGCAAGUCGAACGAGAACCUUGGAGCUUGCUUUGGGGUUCUAGUGGCGGACGAGUGAGUAACACGUGAGUAACUUGCCCGAAAGUUGGGAAUAGCCCACCGAAAGGUGGAUUAAUACCCGAUGUGAUCGCAAGAUUAAAGGUGCCUUCGGGUGCCGCUUUCGGAUAGGCUCGCGGCCUAUCAGCUUGUUGGUGAGGUAAAAGCUCACCAAGGCGACGACGGGUACCUGGUCUGAGAGGACGAUCAGGCACGCUGGAACUGAGACACGGUCCAGACACCUACGGGUGGCAGCAGUCGAGAAUCAUUCACAAUGGGCGAAAGCCUGAUGGUGCGACGCCGCGUGGAGGAUGAAGGCCCUAGGGUCGUAAACUCCUGUCAUCGGGGAGUAAAGCUUAGGUGUUAAUAGCAUCUUAAGCCUGAUAGUACCCGAAGAGGAAGGGGCGGCUAACUCCG
rnacentral:rRNA from 1 species